rnacentral:rRNA from 1 species
AGCGAACGCUGGCGGCAGGCCUAACACAUGCAAGUCGAACGAAGCCUUCGGGCUUAGUGGCGGACGGGUGAGUAACACGUGGGAACGUACCUUUUGGUUCGGAACAACUCAGGGAAACUUGAGCUAAUACCGGAUGAACCCUUAGGGGGAAAGAUUUAUCGCCGAAAGAGCGGCCCGCGUUAGAUUAGCUAGUUGGUGAGGUAAAGGCUCACCAAGGCUACGAUCUAUAGCUGGUCUGAGAGGAUGAUCAGCCACACUGGGACUGAGACACGGCCCAGACUCCUACGGGAGGCAGCAGUGGGGAAUCUUGCGCAAUGGGCGAAAGCCUGACGCAGCCAUGCCGCGUGAAUGAUGAAGGUCUUAGGGUUGUAAAAUUCUUUUACCAGGGACGAUAAUGACGGUACCUGGAGAAAAAGCCCCGGCUAACUUCGUGCCAGCCGCCGCCGUAACAC